UACAGAGGGUGCGAGCGUUAACCGGAAUUACUGGGCGUAAAGCGCGCGUAGGCGGCUUUGCAAGUCGGGUGUGAAAUCCCCAGGCUUAACCUGGGAACUGCAUUCGAGACUGCAUUGCUAGAGUAUGGGAGAGGGAAGUGGAAUUUCCGGUGUAGCGGUGAAAUGCGUAGAUAUCGGAAGGAACAUCAGUGGCGAAAGCGACUUCCUGGACCAAUACUGACGCUCAUGUGCGAAAGCGUGGGGAGCAAACAGG
rnacentral:rRNA from 1 species